GAUGAAGAACGUAGCGAAAUGCGAUAAGUAAUGUGAAUUGCAGAAUUCAGUGAAUCAUCGAAUCUUUGAACGCACAUUGCGCCCGCCAGCAUUCUGGCGGGCAUGCCUGUUCGAGCGUCAUUUCAACCCUCAAGCUCUGCUUGGUGUUGGGGCCCUACGGUUGACGUAGGCCCUUAAAGGUAGUGGCGGACCCUCUCGGAGCCUCCUUUGCGUAGUAACUAACGUCUCGCAUUGGGAUUCGGAGGGACUCUUGCCGUAAAACCCCCAAAUUUUCUAAUGGUUGACCUCGGAUCAGGUAGGAAUACCCGCUGAACUUAAGCAUAUCAAUAAGCGGAGG
rnacentral:misc_RNA from 1 species